UUUGUGGAGAGUUUGAUCCUGGCUCAGGACGAACGCUGGCGGCGUGCUUAACACAUGCAAGUCGAACGGAAAGGCCCUGCUUGCAGGGUACUCGAGUGGCGAACGGGUGAGUAACACGUGGGUAACAC
rnacentral:rRNA from 1 species